GCCGGAAGACCAAGGGUUCCUGUCCAACGUUAAUCGGGGCAGGGUGAGUCGACCCCUAAGGCGAGGCUGAAAAGCGUAGUCGAUGGGCAACGGGUUAAUAUUCCCGUACUGGUGGUAACUGCGAAGGGGGGACGGAGAAAGCUAAAUCAUCCGGGCGACGGUUGUCCGGUUUAAGCGUGCAGGUGGACUGACCAGGCAAAUCCGGUCGGUUGUUAACACUGAGGCGUGACGACGAGCCACUACGGUGGUGAAGUGAUUGAUGCUCUGCUUCCGGGAAAAGCCUCUAAGCUCCAGGUUAUCAUUAAUCGUACCCCAAACCGACACAGGUGGUCAGGUAGAGAAUACUCAGGCGCUUGAGAGAACUCGGGUGAAGGAACUAGGCAAAAUGGUGCCGUAACUUCGGGAGAAGGCACGCUGGCACUAGGUGAAGUCCCUCGCGGACGGAGCUGAAGCCAGCCGCAGAUACCAGCUGGCUGCAACUGUUUAUUAAAAACACAGCACUGUGCAAACACGAAAGUGGACGUAUACGGUGUGACGCCUGCCCGGUGCCGGAAGGUUAAUUGAUGAGGUUAGCGCAAGCGAAGCUUCUGAUCGAAGCCCCGGUAAACGGCGGCCGUAACUAUAACGGUCCUAAGGUAGCGAAAUUCCUUGUCGGGUAAGUUCCGACCUGCACGAAUGGCGUAAUGAUGGCCAGGCUGUCUCCACCCGAGACUCAGUGAAAUUGAACUCGCUGUGAAGAUGCAGUGUACCCGCGGCAAGACGGAAAGACCCCGUGAACCUUUACUAUAGCUUGACACUGAACAUUGAGCCUUGAUGUGUAGGAUAGGUGGGAGGCAACGAAGUGUGGACGCCAGUCUGCACGGAGCCAUCCUUGAAAUACCACCCUUUAACGUUUGAUGUUCUAACCCAGACCCGUAAUCCGGGUCGGGGACCGUGUCUGGUGGGUAGUUUGACUGGGGCGGUCUCCUCCCAAAGAGUAACGGAGGAGCACGAAGGUUGGCUAAGCAUGGUCGGACAUCAUGCGGUUAGUGCAAAGGCAUAAGCCAGCUUGACUGCGAGAGUGACGGCUCGAGCAGGUACGAAAGUAGGUCUUAGUGAUCCGGUGGUUCUGAAUGGAAGGGCCAUCGCUCAACGGAUAAAAGGUACUCCGGGGAUAACAGGCUGAUACCGCCCAAGAGUUCAUAUCGACGGCGGUGUUUGGCACCUCGAUGUCGGCUCAUCACAUCCUGGGGCUGAAGUAGGUCCCAAGGGUAUGGCUGUUCGCCAUUUAAAGUGGUACGCGAGCUGGGUUUAGAACGUCGUGAGACAGUUCGGUCCCUAUCUGCCGUGGGCGCUGGAAGAUUGAGAGGGGUUGCUCCUAGUACGAGAGGACCGGAGUGAACGCACCACUGGUGUACGGGUUGUGAUGCCAAUUGCAUUGCCCGGUAGCUAAGUGCGGAAGAGAUAACCGCUGAAAGCAUCUAAGCGGGAAACUUGCCUCGAGAUGAGUCUUCCCUGACCCUUUAAGGGUCCUGAAGGAACGUUUGAGACUAAGACGUUGAUAGGCUGGGUGUGUAAGUGCAGCGAUGUAUUGAGCUAACCAGUACUAAUGAACCGAGAGGCUUAACCUG
rnacentral:rRNA from 1 species